AACUUCUUUGUUCUCACCACAGGCUGUGUUCCUACACUGACUGUAUAGAAAGAGGAGGCAGAAUAAGCCUGCCCUAUGAACGCCUCAGCCUGGGCUACUGAGCCUGCUCUGUAUUGUGAAUGGGGAGACAUGG